UACGGAGGGGGCUAGCGUUGUUCGGAAUUACUGGGCGUAAAGCGCGCGUAGGCGGACCUGCAAGUCGGGGGGUGAAAGCCCGAGGCUCAACCUCGGAACUGCCUCGAUACUGCGGGUCUCGAGUCCGGGAGAGGUGAGUGGAAUUCCGUAGUGUAGAGGUGAAAUUCGUAGAUAUUAGGAAGAACACCAGUGGCGAAGGCGGCCACCUGGACGGUAACUGACGGCUGAGACGCGA
rnacentral:rRNA from 1 species